UACAGAGGUCUCAAGCGUUGUUCGGAUUCAUUGGCGUAAAGGGUGCGUAGGCGGCGCGGUAAGUCGGGUGUGAAAUCUCGGAGCUUAACUCCGAAACUGCAUUCGAUACUGCCGGUGCUUGAGGACUGGAGAGGAGAGUGGAAUUCCUGGUGAUAGCGGUGAAAUGCGCAGAUAUCAGGAAGAACACCAAUGGCGGAAGGCAGCUCUCUGGGACGGUACUG
rnacentral:rRNA from 1 species